rnacentral:rRNA from 1 species
AUUGAACGCUGGCGGCAUGCUUUACACAUGCAAGUCGAACGGUAACAGGCCUUCGGGUGCUGACGAGUGGCGAACGGGUGAGUAAUGCAUCGGAACGUGCCCAGAGGUGGGGGAUAACGCAGCGAAAGCUGUGCUAAUACCGCAUGUGAUCUGAGGAUGAAAGCGGGGGACCAAGCAGCAAUGUUUGGCCUCGCGCCUCUGGAGCGGCCGAUGUCAGAUUAGGUAGUUGGUGGGGUAAAGGCCUACCAAGCCGACGAUCUGUAGCUGGUCUGAGAGGACGACCAGCCACACUGGGACUGAGACACGGCCCAGACUCCUACGGGAGGCAGCAGUGGGGAAUUUUGGACAAUGGGCGCAAGCCUGAUCCAGCAAUGCCGCGAGCGGGAAGAAGGCCUUCGGGUUGUAAACCGCUUUUGUACGGAACGAAAAGGCUCUGGCUAAUACCUGGGGCUGAUGACGGUACCGUAAGAAUAAGCACCGGCUAACUACGU